CGGGAUCGUCGCCCAGGUCCCGUGAUUUCAGGAUUCCCGCAGGGUGGAGCCAGGCUGAGGAAAGCUGCAGGGGAGCUUCAGGGAUGCCCAGGGCGAUCCCCAAGGAUCCCCAGGAUACUUCAGGCCUGCUCAGACGCUGUGGGAAAUGCGUCUCCUUGAACGCUGUCCCUGCUGGGAAUUCCAGCUCUUGGAUGGCAGGAAAGAGUUCCUAGAGAGAGAAGACAAAGAGCGUUUGUGCUGCAAAAGAAACCCCAGGCUGAAGACUGGAGAUCUGAAUGUGCAAACUGCAAGGGAACUGGAGACAAUGAAACUCCUGUCAGGUAAGUUGGAUGCUAGAAGCUUGUGUGGAGGGGAUGAAGGUUCCGUGUUUAUGAUUUGCCCAUAACAGCAAACAAGUAAAACCAAACCGCAGGGUAGGACCUGCCAUAAAAUAGAAUUUAGUGAAAACAGUCCUUCAGAAACAGAUUUCAUCCACUGAUUCACCUUCCACACACGGUUACAGUCUCGACUUGUGUCCAUAAAAGUGAGAAUCUGCAUUUUUUACACUGAGAAUUAUUUUUCUCUCGACAGGUCAAGUUGACAAGGGGUCUCAGUGUAGAGGCCAUCAAAGUAAUUUUGGUCAAAACACUUGGUGGCAAGAUGAUGAAGUUUUCUGUUGAAACAAUAAAGUGACUAAAUCCGUUAGCAUGUUGUGCCUGGCGUUCAUCGGUGUCCUCAGCAACAUGCCUGGAUAUCCGUCUCAGGAUUUGGCUUCACCCCAGAAAGCUUCUGAGAAGCUGUCUUCACCCAAUCUGCCCCCAGGGGAGGCCAGAUGUAGUUGUUGCCUCCUCUACUGCAG
rnacentral:lncRNA from 1 species